rnacentral:rRNA from 1 species
UCAGUGGCUCAGGACGAACGCUGGCGGCGUGCUUAACACAUGCAAGUCGAACGGAACUCUUUGGAUCAAGACUUCGGUUAAGUGAGAUUGAGUUUAGUGGCGGACGGGUGAGUAACGCGUGAGGAACCUGCCUUUCAGAGGGGGACAACAGUUGGAAACGACUGCUAAUACCGCAUAACGCGUAGAGAUCGCAUGGUCUUUACGCCAAAGAUUUAUCGCUGAGAGAUGGCCUCGCGUCUGAUUAGCUAGUUGGUGAGGUAACGGCCCACCAAGGCGACGAUCAGUAGCCGGACUGAGAGGUUGACCGGCCACAUUGGGACUGAGAUACGGCCCAGACUCCGUACGGGAGGCAGCAGGUGGGGAAUAUUGGGCAAUGGGGGAAACCCUGACCCAGCAACGCCGCGUGAAGGAAGAAGGCUUUCGGGUUGUAAACUUCUUUACCAGGGACGAAGACGUGACGGUACCUGGAGAAAAAGCCACGGCUAACUACGUG